rnacentral:rRNA from 1 species
AGGAUAUGAUACUGGUUCAGAACGAACGCUGGCGGCGUGGAUUAGGCAUGCAAGUCGAGCGACGGGCCCGCCUUCGGGCGGGAGACCGAGCGGCAAAAGGGUGAGUAAUGCGUAGGUAACUUACCCUCGAGAAGGGGAUAACGGUGGGAAACCGCCGCUAAUACCCCAUACGUUCACGGUGUCUCCGGGUACUGUGAAGAAAGGAGGGCAACUUCCGCUCGAGGAUGGGCCUACGUCCUAUUAGCUUGUUGGUGAGGUAAAGGCUCACCAAGCAACGAUGGGUAGCCGACCUGAGAGGGUGACCGGCCACACUGGGACUGAGACACUGCCCAGACUCCUACGGGAGGCUGCAGUCGAGAAUCAUCCGCAAUGGGCGAAAGCCUGACGGUGCGACGCCGCGUGAGGGAUGAAGGCCUUCGGGUUGUAAACCUCUGUCACGGGUUAAGAAACGUACGAAGUUAACGCUUCGUGCUUGACGAAACCGAAAGGAAGUCACGGCUAACUCCGUGCCAGCAGCCGCGGUAAUACGGAGGUGGCUAGCGUUGUUCGGUAUCACUGGGCUUAAAGGGGGCGCAGGCGGUUCAGUUAGUCGGUAUGUGAAAGCCCUCCGCACAACGGAGGGAUUGCGUCCGAUACUGCUGGACUAGAGGCUCGUAGGGGAGAGUAGAAUUCCUGGUGUAGCGGUGAAAUGCGUAGAUAUCAGGAAGAAUGCCGGUGGCGAAGGCGACUCUCUGGGCGAGCCCUGACGCUGAGGCCCGAAAGCCAGGGGAGCGAACAGGAUUAGAUACCCUGGUAGUCCUGGCUGUAAACGAUGGGCACUACGUAGAGGGGGGGAAUACCUUCUCUGCUCAAGCAAAAGUAUUAAGUGCCCCGCCUGGGGAGUAUGGUCGCAAGGCUGAAACUCAAAGUAAUUGACGGGGGCUCACACAAGCGGUGGAGGAUGUUCUUUAAUUCGAAACAACGCGAAGAACCUUACCGGGGCUUGAACCGCUGGGUAAACCCUGUGAAAGCAGGGCUGGCUAUGCCAACCCAGUAGAGGUGUUGCAUGGCUGUCGUCAGCUCGUGUCGUGAGAUGUCGGGUUAAGUCCCAUAACGAGCGAAACCCUUGUCCUUAGUUACCAUCACUUCGGGUGGGGACCCUAAGGAGACUGCCGGUGUCAAGCCGGAGGAAGGUGGGGAUGACGUCAAGUCAUCAUGGCCCUUAUGUCCCGGGCUAGAAACGUCCUACAAUGGGCGGUACAAAGGGAACCGAAGCCGUGAGGCGGGGGAAAUCCCCUAAAGCCGUCCUCAGUUCGGAUCGCAGGCUGAAAUUCGCCUGCGUGAAGCUGGAAUCGCUAGUAAUCGCGGAUCAGCACGCCGCGGUGAAUAUGUUCCUGAGCCUUGUACACACCGCCCGUCAAGCCACGAGAAUCGGGGGUACCCGAAGUCGCUGACCCAACCGCAAGGAGGGAGGCGCCGAAGGUAAAACCGGUGAUCGGGACUAAGUCGGAACAAGGUA